rnacentral:rRNA from 1 species
UUGGCUAAUUGCACCACAUGUGUUUUUCUUUGAAACAAACUUGCUUUGGCGGUGGGCCCAGCCUGCCGCCAGAGGUCUAAACUUACAACCAAUUUUUUAUCAACUUGUCACACCAGAUUAUUACUAAUAGUCAAAACUUUCAACAACGGAUCUCUUGGUUCUCGCAUCGAUGAAGAACGCAGCGAAAUGCGAUACGUAAUAUGAAUUGCAGAUAUUCGUGAAUCAUCGAAUCUUUGAACGCACAUUGCGCCCUCUGGUAUUCCGGAGGGCAUGCCUGUUUGAGCGUCGUUUCUCCCUCAAACCGCUGGGUUUGGUGUUGAGCAAUACGACUUGGGUUUGCUUGAAAGACGGUAGUGGUAAGGCGGGAUCGCUUUGACAAUGGCUUAGGUCUAACCAAAAACAUUGUUUGCGGCGGUAACGUCUACCACGUAUAUCUUCAAACUUUGACCUCAAAUCAGGUAGGACUACCCGCUGAACUUAAGCAUAUCAAUAAGGCGGGAGGAA